UGGGGAAUCUUAGACAAUGGGGGCAACCCUGAUCUAGCCAUGCCGCGUGAGUGAUGAAGGCCUUAGGGUUGUAAAGCUCUUUCAGCUGGGAAGAUAAUGACGGUACCAGCAGAAGAAGCCCCGGCUAACUCCGUGCCAGCAGCCGCGGUAAUACGGAGGGGGCUAGCGUUGUUCGGAAUUACUGGGCGUAAAGCGCACGUAGGCGGACUGGAAAGUUGGGGGUGAAAUCCCGGGGCUCAACCUCGGAACCGCCUUCAAAACUAUCAGUCUGGAGUUCGAGAGAGGUGAGUGGAAUUCCGAGUGUAGAGGUGAAAUUCGUAGAUAUUCGGAGGAACACCAGUGGCGAAGGCGGCUCACUGGCUCGAUACUGACGCUGAGGUGCGAAAGCGUGGGGAGCAAACA
rnacentral:rRNA from 1 species